UACAGAGGGGGCAAGCGUUAUUCGGAAUUAUUGGGCGUAAAGGGCGCGUAGGCGGCUUUUCAAGUGGCGGGGGAAAGCCCUCGGCUUAACCGAGGAACUGCCUGCCAGACUGAAUGGCUUGAGACCGGGAGAGGUGAGUGGAAUUCCCAGUGUAGCGGUGAAAUGCGUAGAUAUUGGGAGGAACACCAGUGGCGAAGGCGGCUCACUGGACCGGUACUGACGCUGAGGCGCGAAAGCGUGGGGAGCAAACAGG
rnacentral:rRNA from 1 species